GACGAACGCUGGCGGCGUGCUUAACACAUGCAAGUCGAACGGAAAGGCCCUGCUCUUGUGGGGUGCUCGAGUGGCGAACGGGUGAGUAACACGCGAGUAACCUGCCCCUGAAUUUGGGAUAACUUCAGGAAACUGGGGCUAAUACCGGAUAGGAGCUCCCGCUGCAUGGUGGGGGUUGGAAAGUUUUGGCGGUUGGGGAUGGUCUCGCGGCUCCUCAGCUUGUUGGUGGGGUUGUGGCUUACCAAGGCUUUGACGGGUAGCCGGCCUGAGAGGGGGACCGGCCACAUUGGGACUGAGAUACGGCCCAGACUCCUACGGGAGGCAGCAGUGGGGAAUAUUGCACAAUGGGCGGAAGCCUGAUGCAGCGACGCCGCGUGCGGGAUGACGGCCUUCGGGUUAUAAACCGCUUUCGCCUGUGACGAAGCGUGAGUGACGGUAAUGGGUAAAGAAGCACCGGCUAACUACGUG
rnacentral:rRNA from 1 species